UUUUUUUUUUUUUUUUUUUUUUUUUUUGCUUUUUAGGGCCGCACCUGUGGCAUAUGGAGUUUCCCAGGCUAGGGGUCCAAUCAUAGCCACCGACCUACGCCACAGCCACAGCAAUGCCAGAUCUGAGCUGUGUCUGCAAUCUACACCACAGCUCACAGCGAAGCCGGAUCCUUGACCCACUGAGCAAGGCCAGGGAUUGAACCACAUCCUCAUGGAUCAUACUUGGGUCCAUUAACCACUGGCCACAACGGGAACUCCUUUGAUAUUUUUUUAAGUGACUUUUUCUUUUCCCCUUCAUAAUAUUUGAUACACACAUAAACCAUUAACAGGUCCGAGUUUUAAAUAAAUACACAGAAUGCAUUUUCUCACCUCAAUGUUUUCACAUCAUUCUAAAAAUAAACUAUAAGAAACUAGAGCAGUUUAUAUUUUGGGGGAUCACAGUGUGUUUAAAAUUCAAGAAAUAGGGUUUAUUUUAAAAAUUUUUUUUUUAUUUUUAAAUCCAUACUAAUUGACUUCUAAACAUGCCAACUUCUUAGUAGUCCUGAGCAUAAAUAUUAGGUGCAGGAAUCGUGUCAACUUCAUCUCUGAGUUUUGUGACUUUUCUUGUUUCUGCCAACAUUCCCCAAUGCUCACAUACCUUUUGAAGUGAAAUUGGGCCCAACUUUGUCUCCAUGGAUAAGUCUCCCACUAGGACUGAUAGAGACUGGAUUAUGUCCUAACAUUGCAGUCCACAGAGGAAGUUCUAUUUUUCUAAGUUCUAAUAGAAAACACGGUCUUGAGUGUUUUCUUCAAAGCUGUGAGAUCAUUCCCAUAGCCAGGGAAUUGCCAGAUAGAAUUGUUUAUUAAUAAAGAUAUUCCAUAGCUUAGACACACAAGCUGCAUAACCGGGCACCAAUACAGCAUAUGUUCUCUCACCUUUUUUUUUUAAUUGAAGUGUAGUUGAUUUAUAACCUGUGUUGGUUUCAAACAUACAGCAAAAUGAUUCAGUUAUACAUUUAUUUUUUACAUUAUAGGUUAUUGUAAAACAUUGACUACAGUUCCCUGUGCUAUACAGUAGGUCCCUGUUAAUUAUCUAUUUUAUAUACAGUAGCACAUAUUCAUUAGUCCCAAAUUCCUAAUUUCUCUCUCCUCCCACCUUUUCCCUUUGAUAACUGUAAGUUUGUUUUCUGUGUCUGUGGGUCUAUUUCUGUUUUUUAAAUAGGUUCAUUUGUUAUUUUUUUAGAGUCCACAUAUAAAUGAUACCAUAUUAUAUUCGUCUUUGAUUUACUUCAUUUCAUAUCAUAAUCUCUAGGUCCAUCCAUGUUGAUGCAAAUGGUGUUAUUUCAUUCUUUUUUAUGGCUAGCAUUCCAUUGUAUUUCUUCCUAAACCAAUCAUGUGUUGAUGGGCACUUAGGUUGCUUCCAUGUCUUAGCUAUUAUAAACAGUGUUGCUAUGAACACUGUUUUAAUAGCUGAUAUAUUUUCAAAUUAGAGCUUUCAUCUUUUUUAGAUAUAAACCCAAUAGUGGGAUCACUGGACAAUAUGGCUAUUCUAUUUUUAAUUUUUUAAGGAACCUCCAUACUGUUCUUCACAGUGACUACACCAAUUUAUAUUCCUACCAACAGUGUAGAAGGAUUCCUUUUUCUCCACACCCUCUUCAGCAUUUACUAUUUGCAGACUUUUUGAUGAUGGCCAUUCUGACAGAUAUGAGGUAAUGCCAAAUUGUAGUUUUGAUUUGUUUUUCUUUAAUAAUUAGCAAUGUUGAGCAUCUUUUCAUGAACCUGUUGGCCAUCUGUAUGUCUUCUUAGGAAAAAUGUCUGUUUAGGAUCUCUGCCAAUUUCUUAUUGAUUUUUCGCUUUUUGAUAUUGAGCUGUAUGAACUGUUUGUAUAUUUUGGAAAUGAAUCCCUUAUCAGUCUCAUUGUUUGAAAAUACUUUCUCCCAUUUCAUAGGUUGUCUUUUUUUGUUGUUUGUUUAUUCUUUUUUUCUCAAGCAGCACUCUGAGCUAAGUACAAGAAACUGGGAUAAAAUGAACAUGGAAUAGUCCAGGAAUCCUUUGAUGAAGACAGAUGCUAAAGCAAAUACUCUACAAUAAUUACAGUAAUUAAUAAAUGCAACUCCUUAGUUGUGGCUGAACUGCUAGAAGAGCUAGAAAGAUUGUCCAUUAAUAGAAAGAAAUCAAUCUUAUUAUUAAUCACUUGUGAACAAAAACAAAGUCAAAGAUAUAAUACCGAACCUUUCUUUUCUUCUUCUAAUUAGAAAACGCUCAGUCCCUUUAGGGUCCUUUUCAGAUGUCCAUCAGAUGUCUCUCUCUCCUUAGCUGUUUUUCCCCCUAUUCUUUCUGCCUGCAUUUUUCAAGGUCUUUUCAAUCUUUCUUAAUCUUUCUGCAAGGUACUGGCACCAGACUGGAAAGAUGGCAAUAGAUCCUUAUUGGCCUAAAUACAAGGAAGUGGUAGUCCUUAGAAUUCUCCACAAUGGAGAAGCUAUAACAUUAAUCUUUCUUUAGCAGUGUACUUCUGCACUGAGAUUUCCCAUACUGUCUUGUGAAGUUUCUUUAUAUAAAAUUGUUCCAACAUUGAUGGGCAAAACCUAGUAAUGUGAAAAAUGAUCAAGUGCAUGGAUUCGGAGCCAGACUGCCUGGGUUUGAUACACUGCUCUGAUAUUAUUUAAUACUCCUUUCCUCAUAACCUUGGUUGAAUAUUAAAUUAAUUGGUAAUGUGUUAGGAGCAAAGACAAAAUGAAAAGCCAAGAGUGAGAGGGGAAUUGCAAACCUCAUCCUGCCAUAGACCAUGGAAACCAGGGGAGUGAGGCACACUGGCUCUGUGCUAAACCACUGUCCUGGUGCUAUUGCCUCCAGAUUCCCUUUUGUCUGGGAGAAAUUCCUGCUUUUAUGGUCUCCAAAAAGAUACCCCCUAGGACCACCAUCCCACCAGAGUAAUCCUCACAGAAUUUGUGCUGGCAGGUUGAUGCAGCCUUCUCAAGUCACAUCAAGGUGGAGAACUGGUUCACCCUCUCCCUCUAGCCUGGUUUUCCUUGUCAGGUGCUUGGAUUCUUUUCCCAUGAUGCAGUUUGACAGGUUCGGAGAGCCAAGGAGUCUAGCCUCUGACCUCUCAUCUUUGCAUGGUGCUAGAAUUCCUUGUUGCCUUUCAUGCCUCCCUCACUCUAGUAGAUCCUCCAUCUUGCUUAACCAUUUUGCCAGCUGAAGUUGAACUAACCAGAUUCUAUUUCAGUUCUGUGGACCCCAAGGAGCAAUUCCAUGUAUGUGGUUUCCUUAUCCAGGGAUAUAUAACUGACCUAUCACAGGCUUGGCCAUAAGAAUCUAAGGACACCAUCAAUGCUAGUGCAGUGCCAGUGGGUUUACUCAGUUAAUGCAGGCAUAUUUCCAUAAACCUAAUGAGAGGGAAGUGUCAGGGAAGAGGGUAUAUAUCUUUCCUUCCUCCUUUAGCUGGGUGAAUGUUUCUAAAAUUAGGACCCCAUCCUUAUUCUUUUGAAAACUUUUUUUGUAACCUUUCUUAAGGUUUGGAGUUCUCACUUGGGUAUUGCCUCCAUUAGACAUUCACAAUAUAGCUCCUAGCUAAGAACAUUAGAUCCUAGGAAAACAAACAAAAACAAGAAAAUGAAACCAAAAAAAAAAAAAAAAA
rnacentral:lncRNA from 1 species